CUGAGUGUACCACUUGACCUGAUCCUGCCGCAGCCUGGGGACUAAGAGGACUCCUGGAAUAUGGACUGACCCAAGGCCUGUGAACACGAGUGUGACUUAUGUGGAAGGGCAGGAGGUGGGUUUGUGUGUGCACAUAUGCCUGCACAUGUGCCUGCCCAGCCAGAUGUCAGCUACAGCAUGUAUCCCAAGAGCACAGCCUGGGCAUCUCCCUCCCAGGCCUCCGUCUUUGUUCCUGUCCUGCCCCUACUGCCGCAAGUUAGGCCUCGUACCUAUGCAAAGCUUCUUUCAGCUACAGGACAAAGGCUUCCUCAGCAUAUACUCCAGAGGACUGGAGGUGGAGGGGGGACGCUGUGUGGAAAAGACCACCCAGCUCAGAGAUUCCUGACCCUGUCAACAUGGAUUUCUUCACCAGGAGACUCAGACGCAGGGGAAACACAGGAAGCCUGGCUACAGCUCUGGCCCACAUACUUGGGAUGCUCCCAGUUAUAGCCACAGAAAACAGCCUGAGACCUCUUUCCGGCUGUGGCAGCCUGCUCCACUCACUCCUUCUGCUUCUCCAACAUCCCUGUUUGGCACACCACCCCAUACUUCUCCAGGAGCUGCCAGGUGAGGUUGUUCCCUCCAGAUACAACAGCGAUGGCCACUGGAGCUUACAGGGUGACAAGCAACAGUUCGGAGUUACAGGAGACUCAGGAUCCACCAGGCACUGCAUUCAACUCCAUCUUCUAAACCUUCAGCUCCUGGACUUGUGUGAGGCAUAAAUGGGUCUUAGAGAUUAGCAGGAGGGGCAGGCAACACUCAACACCUAAAAGAGCAGGCCAAACCGUGAGAGACGGGGGUGGGGUGGGGGAGGGCGGGGAAGGUGUAUACUUCGAAUGUGGGUCUUGGGAAGAGAGGUCUAGAAAGAUAGGACCACAGGGCAGAGGCGCUAAGGCAGGGGGAGCUUGGCAGGUUCAAGGGUGAGAACAAAAUAUGUGAAGCCGGAGUCCAGAGAGUAGGGUAGGUGUGGAAGGUGACUCAGCAAGGAUCAGCUCCUUUAUCACUGCCCCGACUGCAUAGUCAGGAGUCUUGACGCUUGGAGUUGCCAUGGAGAUGAUAUCCAUUCCUGCCAGACACACCAGUAUCCACAUAUUGGUUCUGCUCAUGGCUCCACGGCUUAGGGUAGGACAGACUGCCUCAGAGUCUUUUAUCUUCUAACGGAAGGACGGGCUAUCUCCCUAGCCCAGACUUCUGGAAUCCCGGAGCCAAAGAAAUGUUGAAUGACAGGAAGAGGGAGUGGCUUCCUACGGAGGAGAAGGAGCUUUGAGUGUUGUGUGACAAUGUGGAGGCUUGAGAGCCCAAGGGUGUGUGUAUGGAGGAAGAGGAAGGCUGUACAGAGGAAGCCGCGGGGUCUCUCUGCUGGCCACAGCCCCUUCCUCACUAGGGGUGCCUCCUUCCAACAAGCGUGCUCCAGUCACCAACUCCGUCCCUGCACAUCUGCCCGCAGGGUGGUGGAAUACAGAAAGAUUCACCCACCCGCCAGAAGCAGAGAAGGCUCUAGGAAAGACACCUACUUCCAUUUUUCCAAUUUGGCAAAGAUCGGAAGUUUGUAGAACUGCCUGUGCUGUGGAAAUUGUGGGAAAACAGAGGUGGCUGGGGACAAGCUCCAUGGAAGGGUUCCUGUGAAAGUACAAACAUACUUUUGACUUAGAGAGUCUGUGUGUAGGUAAUUGGCUCCACGAGUUUUUUUGCAUAGCAUCUGGUGAACACCAGCCUUGCUUAUACCGCAGAAGCUUGGACAUCCUGAAUGUCUGUCACAGAGGGGAGAGCAAAUGUCUGCAUUCCUGCCGUGGGGCUAUAACUUGAAAGGACUCACAGGAAGGGCCUUCUGAACAGAGAGCCAAUCCUCUUCAAGACAUCUGGUUAAACCAGAAGGAACCAGGUGUGGUGGAGCACACCUAGCAUGUAAGAGGCUGUUCAAGGAUGGCCUUGAUUACACCCGGAAUUCAAGACCAGCCUGGGCAACCCUAAAAAAAGAGGCUGGAGAGAUGGCUCACCAGUUAAGAGGACCCAGGUUGGAUUCACAGCACACAUAUGGCAACUCACUGUAGAUGGAAGUUUCUGUCCCGCCUGGUCCCGCAGCCCUUUAGUCCCAAAUAAACACAGAGAUUUAUAUUAAUUAUAAACUGUUUGGCUGGUGGCUCAGGCUUCUUAUUGGCUAGCUCUGUCUUAAUUAUUAACCCAUUUCUAUUAAUCUGUGUAUCUCCACACAGUCUUGGCUUACCAGAGAAUGUCUGGUAUCCUAUCUUCCCAGUAGCUAUAUGGAGUCUCCCUGAUCCCACCUACUACCUUUCUCUAUCUCUGUUCAGAUUUCUUGUCUGUCUAAAUCCUGCCUGGGCAUUGGCCAAAACAGCUUUAUUCAUCAACCAAUAAGAGAAACAUAUAUUCACAGCAGACAGAAGGAUCUCCCCCAUCAUCUCACAACUAUCUACAACUCCAAUUCCAGGGGAUCUGACAUUCUCAUCCGCUUCUGGCCUCCCUGGGCACCAGGCAUGCAAGUGGCCAGCAGAGAGACUGUGGUGCUUAUUCUACCCAGCCCCGUCUCCCUCUACACACACCCAUGGACUCUUAAAUCUCUACAUUGUCACCCGUCUCCCAUACAUGGCUCCUUCCCCUCUAUAGGAAGCCUCUCCCUCUGACAUACAUGUAGGUAAAGUAACACACACACACACACACACACACACACACACACACACACACACACACUCUAAAAAGAGAAAGAAGGAAAGAAAGAAGCUGUCUAAAGGACAGUAGUAUGUGUCCAUAUGUAUAAAUAUAGGAAACAAACAGAAUUUAUGUCAGGGAUAGUAGUGCAUGCCUUUAAGGCCAGAACUCAGGAGGUAGAAGCAGGUGGAUCUCUGUGAGUUUAAGGCCUGGUCUGAAUAGUGAGACCCUGCCUCAAAUAACUGAAACAAAGAAAAAUAGCACAGAAUUUAUGUCAUGAAAGAAACAGGAAGAUGGUUUGCUUCCAGAAUGAGAAGCAGUGGAGCUGGGGGCAAGAAUGAGGAGGAGAUCUUACAAGUCUUAAUCUUAGAAUUUUAACCAAACUACAAAAUUAAAAUAAUAAUUAGCAAUAUAAUGUUAAUACUACUAUAAUAAACUGUUUUGAAAUCUGUACUCUUGAAAGUGCCAUAGCCCCACUGGUUACUUUCCUCAGCUAAGCUGUGUUCCCAUAGGCAGAACAUCCUGGAAAAGAGAAAUCGAGAUUCCAGUCCAGAUGUGGUCAAGUUCGGAUGUAGGUCCUGACUUGAUGGAUGACCUACAGUAACACUUCCAGAUAACUCCCUCUCUCCUAUGCUAGGACAGCUCCUCCCUCUGGAUCUCUCAGCUCUACUAAGCUUCCAGAGGGUGGGCCCAUGUCUUCUUGCCCCUCCCGAUCUUAAAUAAAUGUGUAUUUAAAUGAGUUCAUGUGUGUGUACACGAGUGUGUGGGUGCGUGUGUGUGUGUGUGUGUGUGAGUUCAUGAGUGUGAGUGCAAGUGUGACUGAACAUACUUACACAUGAAUGUGUAGACCAGAGGACAACCUUGACGUGUUUAUCUAAAUUGUUCUAUUAUUAAUAAAAACCCGGAAGUCCAAUAUCGGGGUUAAAAACCUGAUAGAUUACGAAAGUGGCAGAGAAGCCAGGCAGUGGUGGUACACACCUUUAAUCCCAGCACUUGGGAGUCAGAGGCAGGCAGAUCUUUGUGAGUGCAAGGCCAGCCUGGUCUAUAAAGUGAGUUCCAGGACAUGGUUCCAAAGCUAC
ensembl:lncRNA